GAUGAACGCUGGCGGCGUGCCUAAUACAUGCAAGUCGAGCGAACGGACGAGAAGCUUGCUUCUCUGAUGUUAGCGGCGGACGGGUGAGUAACACGUGGAUAACCUACCUAUAAGACUGGGAUAACUUCGGGAAACCGGAGCUAAUACCGGAUAAUAUUUUGAACCGCAUGGUUCAAAAGUGAAAGACGGUCUUGCUGUCACUUAUAGAUGGAUCCGCGCUGCAUUAGCUAGUUGGUAAGGUAACGGCUUACCAAGGCAACGAUGCAUAGCCGACCUGAGAGGGUGAUCGGCCACACUGGAACUGAGACACGGUCCAGACUCCUACGGGAGGCAGCAGUAGGGAAUCUUCCGCAAUGGGCGAAAGCCUGACGGAGCAACGCCGCGUGAGUGAUGAAGGUCUUCGGAUCGUAAAACUCUGUUAUUAGGGAAGAACAUAUGUGUAAGUAACUGUGCACAUCUUGACGGUACCUAAUCAGAAAGCCACGGCUAACUACGUGCCAGCAGCCGCGGUAAUACGUAGGUGGCAAGCGUUAUCCGGAAUUAUUGGGCGUAAAGCGCGCGUAGGCGGUUUUUUAAGUCUGAUGUGAAAGCCCACGGCUCAACCGUGGAGGGUCAUUGGAAACUGGAAAACUUGAGUGCAGAAGAGGAAAGUGGAAUUCCAUGUGUAGCGGUGAAAUGCGCAGAGAUAUGGAGGAACACCAGUGGCGAAGGCGACUUUCUGGUCUGUAACUGACGCUGAUGUGCGAAAGCGUGGGGAUCAAACAGGAUUAGAUACCCUGGUAGUCCACGCCGUAAACGAUGAGUGCUAAGUGUUAGGGGGUUUCCGCCCCUUAGUGCUGCAGCUAACGCAUUAAGCACUCCGCCUGGGGAGUACGACCGCAAGGUUGAAACUCAAAGGAAUUGACGGGGACCCGCACAAGCGGUGGAGCAUGUGGUUUAAUUCGAAGCAACGCGAAGAACCUUACCAAAUCUUGACAUCCUUUGACAACUCUAGAGAUAGAGCUUUCCCCUUCGGGGGACAAAGUGACAGGUGGUGCAUGGUUGUCGUCAGCUCGUGUCGUGAGAUGUUGGGUUAAGUCCCGCAACGAGCGCAACCCUUAAGCUUAGUUGCCAUCAUUAAGUUGGGCACUCUAAGUUGACUGCCGGUGACAAACCGGAGGAAGGUGGGGAUGACGUCAAAUCAUCAUGCCCCUUAUGAUUUGGGCUACACACGUGCUACAAUGGACAAUACAAAGGGCAGCGAAACCGCGAGGUCAAGCAAAUCCCAUAAAUUUGUUCUCAGUUCGGAUUGUAGUCUGCAACUCGACUACAUGAAGCUGGAAUCGCUAGUAAUCGUAGAUCAGCAUGCUACGGUGAAUACGUUCCCGGGUCU
rnacentral:rRNA from 1 species